rnacentral:rRNA from 1 species
CCUACGGGCGGCAGCAGUGAGGAAUCUUGGUCAAUGGGCUUACGCCUGAACCAGCCAAGUCGCGUGAGGGCAGACUGCCCUAUGGGUUGUAAACCUCUUUUGUCAGGGAGCAAUUGGCGCUACGUGUAGCGUUAUCGAGAGUACCUGAAGAAAAAGCAUCGGCUAACUCCGUGCCAGCAGCCGCGGUAAUACGGAGGAUGCGAGCGUUAUCCGGAGUUAUUGGGUUUAAAGGGUGCGUAGGCGGAAUGCCAAGUCAGCGGGAACAUCGCGGGGCUCAACCUCGCUCCGCCGUUGAAACUGGCGUUGUUGAGUGGGCGAGAAGUAUGCGGAAUGCGUGGUGUAGCGGUGAAAUGCAUAGAUAUCACGCAGAACACCGAUUGCGAAGGCAGCAUACCGGCGCCCAACUGACGCUGAAGCACGAAAGCGUGGGUAUCGAACAGGAUUAGAUACCCGUGUAGUC